UAUUGAACAGAAAAAAAAAAAAACCAGAGAAAACGACGACGAGCCAGAUGUGAGAAGCAGGAGAACGUAACCGAGUGCCAUUCUGUCCCAAAAAAAAAAAAACGGAGAGCCAGAUGCAGAGGUAGCAGUGGUAUUGAGAUUCCGAGAGGACGAAGAAGGUGUUGUUGGUAGGGAUCGAGCAAGGAGACCAUCAGAGAUGGGAGAGGUGGUUGAAACCCUAGAGGGCCAUAGAAGGUCGGUGGCAGCUCCUCUCGUCUUCAUACUCGUCGUCGUUUUCCAAUUUGUGUCCAGGUGGCUGCAACAGUUGAAGAAGAGGGGCUUUUGAAGGAGGCAAGCUCAUUGUCACAGCCUUCAACAUUUGCACAAGCUGCAAAGCUAAGGAGGAUGGCAGCUGCUAAGGAGAAAGAACUUGCAAAUUGUACUAGUUGCUGCAACUCCACCCAUUCAAUUAUGUUUAUAUAUGUUUAUAAAUAAUUAUUUGCAACAUGCUUGGGUUCAAAUUUGUGUUUGUAUAGCAGCCACAUACACUUUAAGAAGAUGAAGUUGUUAAGCGAAGGGUUGAAUGUUUAAUACAGUUUAGGUAGUUGUUCAAUGUCUUUAAUUACUAGGUGUCCCUGUACAUUCAUUUUAUUGACUCAAAUAUCAAUCUCAUUCAGAGAUAUGAGUGGUUGAUUA